rnacentral:lncRNA from 1 species
UAACAAUCCUUACCAUAAGCCCCAAGAUUUUGGGUGCAGGAGCAUACAGUUGCGGGCAAGUAGGCUCUCUAACGUAGGGAAACAAUUAAACUGGUUUUAAAUAAAACGUUAUCUAAACAAUAUAUGAAUGUUCGGGCUGCAAAUGUGUAUAUUGGCUCUCAAUGUAGUCAGGUUUCUGGUUGCGGAGUCAGACAGUCAGAGGAUGUGCCUGGUGACGGGAUUCAGGGAUCUUCACCAUUGUAGCGUGGUUCUGGUGAGGUCCUGGUAGAUAGAGAGACUUGCUCCUUCGAAAGUCAGUGGCUUCUUGCCUCGGAGUACUGUCAUCAGGAGUCUUUUGUCCUGUGAGGUGGAGCAACAUACGAUCACAUCUCGUACCAUAGUGGAGGCUGCUCUGCCCUAUGAUGGUAGACGGUAGAUCCCAUCUAUGAUAAAUUUCUUAGCAUGAUUCGGUGGCAGUAGUGAGGCUACGAGUCACCUCAUAUAGUGAGGGAGUUUGUCAGGCGUGAUGGUAUCAGGUAUCCCUCUAAGCUUGAGGUGAUUGUGUCAUGUCCUAUCAUCUAGGGCUAUGUAGUGGAGUGAGAGAGCUUGUUGCUGGGCUUGUAAAGCCAGUACAGAGUCCUGUAGGGAUGACGGUCCCUGCUUGAUGUCUGAAAUGUCAUCCUCCGAGGCAUUCACCCUGUCCGUGAUGGUAUCAGGUUGCACGGCCAGGGUUUAGAAGGCUAAUAACCAAGCAGGAGAUAAUAAAUUCUAGAUUAAACAGACUGUUUAAAAAAGGAAGUGUAAACAUUAGAUGACUCUUUACAGGAAGUGUUUAGGAAUGCUGUGAAAGUCACAUGAAGGGAGGUAUCACUAGGUCUGUAUAAAAAAGGGAUUUAAUUCCUAAAUGGCAGAGAAUUGAGCAGUGAGAUUGCAGGGGCAUGAUGUAUCCACAAAACGGCUUAAGCAAGCUGUUUAGGUGACCGUAGUGUCCCUUUUAAUAAAUGUAAGAUUCAUUUAUUUAUUUUUUAAAUUGCUAUUCUAUUUUCAAAUCUCAAUGAAACCCUCAUGUCAUGAUUUAAAGCAAAACUUUCACUUCUGAGGUUUUGGCACAACACAAUCACUUCCUAAACGUUUGCUAUACCUUGUGCUUCUAUUUUCUUACCAGCCUCAAUAGAGAUAAUGUUUUUUAUACAAGACAUACUAGGUAAAUUCCAUUAACCCCUGAAGACACAUGUGUGGAACUCUAGAAGGAAUUUCUCUAGAUAUCCCGGAUUCCUUUACAUACACCUUUGUACGUGUAUACAUCACAGUGACACCAAGACCUGGAAUCUGUUGCCUACUAACUGGAGAGGUAAGAAAUAUGUCACUGUGGCUUUAAAGAGCAGUCACCGGGUGAGAUACAAUUAACAAACCUAUAAUGAAAUACUGCAGGUAAGCUUCCCUUCCCUACCCACUGCUUGUCUUUUGUUUCCCUCUGGCAUAAAAUGUAUAAAUAAAUAGAAUAUUGACUGUAACCUACAAGGUUCUCCGCAGAGUGCAUUUCUUCUCCAAUUCACAAAUGCAUUCUUGCUCAACCAUGUUGCUCUGCCUGUAACACUUAUUUACUUUUUAAGGGCAGUACCACUCUGGAAUGCUCUAACCAAAAUAUGUGAUUUUACUCAUUACGGUGACUUUAAUGUUUAAAUCUUACAUGCCUCCUUGUUGUUGUGCAGGAAUAUGUUGUCGUAAACAAGACGUCCUCUUGUAACGUUGUACUUCCUUCAGAGUACAGAUACUUUAUGGUCCCCAUGUUCUCACUGUUGAUACCAAUUCUCUCCCCCUCCUGACUAGCUGUGAGUGUCUCAUAGAAUUAUUUGACCUGUGAUAACCCUGAACUGGAAUGGAACUGUUACAGGUGCCUGUAAAAUGUGGGGAUGUCUCUGUUUAUUUCUCCAAGGAGGAGUGGGAUUAUAUAGAAGGUCACAAGGACAUUUACAAAGACCUCAUGAUAGAGAAUUGUCCAACAGAAAGUACUAAUGAAAGGUAACACUGUUUAGAGUUUUUAUUAAGUUGUUGUAAGUAUUCUUCAAUAUUCACUUUGUAGCUAAACAGACUGGAUCUUAACAUAAAUAAUUCUACAUUAGAUCUCUUCUUAGAAAUGUUUCAUCUACACGCGUGCACCUUCCAAGUUUCUAAGCAAUGCUUAUUUUUAUCCAAUGCAUAUUUGGCCCAUGGAACUUUAGAUGAGCACACAAGGUCCAUUCAGCCGGAGUACAUGAGAUUUACACUAAGCUCUUAUUUAAAGUAUUGGGAGGACCACGAUUAGCUGAGUUCUCAGUCUCGACCUGGUUCCUGAUAAAACUUCAUAUUUGUCUCCACUAAGGGAAAAUUAAGAGUUCAUCACUUUGUUUAUGCGCACCUCCACUGUCUCUGAUUUUUAUAGCCACCCUACACAUUUCCUGAAGAAGAGAUUCAUUCUUUUUUUUAACUUCCCUUAUUGGACAGUGUGUUUAAUUUAGAAUUUCUUAUCUCCUGCUCUUUAAACUGCCUACUAGAGCCUUCAGCAGCCUCCCAUGUGUGAUUGAAGUUCAAUUAAAAAAACAGGAGACAAUGACUUCUAGAGUAAACAUACUAUGCUGUAAUUUUUUUCAUGGAUGCUGUAUGAGCCACAACCAGGGAAAGUAUGACGUGGGCAAAACAAAGUGACUUAAUUCCAUAGGAGCACUAGACACGGCAGGGGCAUGCAAUUACACCAAAACCGCUUCAUUAAGUUGCUUUAGUUUUUAGAACUGUCCUACAAAACUUCCGUCCCGUUUUCCGUUUUGAAAUACAACACUCAUUAUUCUGUGAAUGAAACAGACAGCCAGGGAAUCAUGGGAGUUGUAGUUCCAUACAUCUAAGGGGCCGCAGGUUGUGCAGGACUGGUUUAGAGUAUUCCUGGAAGGUCAACAGCCUUACUGCAUUAAUCUGUUUGCAGUAAUGCUUGCAGAGCAAAAAAAGACACCACCCUGUAUAUUAUGCAUUUUAUAAAAAGUCGAUCAUAUCUUACUUUCUCCUUGUAAUAUCUCUUUAGAUGUGAAGUUAACAGGUCCUUACAAUGGAGAUCCUGACAGUGUAUCGGAAGUCGAGGGAGAGGAGGAUGAGAAAUGUGCACAGGAAAUUGAUACAGUAAAAAUCCAUUUACACACAGAUACAAGUAAGAGACCUCUCUGAAUCCUAAACCCUAAUCUAAUCAGGAAAUGGACAACUAUAUUUUAAGAUAAUUUUAUUUGUAUUUUUAACAUAUUAUUAUUGUUUGGCAAGAUCAAAAAAAUGAAUUUGCAGGAUCUUGAGAAAGUAAUGGACACAAAGUAUUUAAAAGUUGCCUAACAGCCCGGAUGUCCCUUUAGUGGCUGUCUACAAGACAGCCACUAGAGGUGGAGUAAACAUGGUCCUUAAGGGGUUAAAGGUAGUUUCUUAAAAGCUGCAAUAAUUACCUUUGCAGGGUUAAGGGACCUGGGAAUAUGCACCCAGACCUCUUCAAUGAGCUGCAGUGGUCUGAAUGACUAUAGAAUCCCUUUAAUAUAUAUUUUUGCUUGCUCUCUUUGCUGUCAGCUUAGGGAUAUCAUAUGAUAUAGUGAUGAGAAAGAGAAGGCAUGAAAAUCCCAUAAUGCAUUGCAAGUUGGAGUAUGGGACAAUGAGCAGGGCUUUGUGCUGUUAUUUGGAGAUUUUAUUUAAUAUUUUUCUUUGGGAAGGCAGUAUAUAUGCUCUGCUAAUAUGAUGUUCUAAUAAUUAAAGGACCACUAUAGUGCCAGGAAAACAUACAAGUUUUCCUGGCACUAUAGUGCCCUGAGGGUGCCCUCACCCUCAGGGCCCCCUUCCCGCCGGGCUCUAGGGGGUGGAAGGGGUUAAAUUUACCUCUUUUUCCAGCGCCGGGUGGGGGACUCUCCUCCUUGUCGUCGUCAUAGGCUUAAUGCACAUGCGCGGCAUGAGCCACACGCGCCUUUAGCCAAAAUCUCCAAGCAUUCUCAAUGCUUUCCUAUGGACGCUGGCAUCUUCUCGCUGUGAUUUUCACAGUGAGGAGCGCGGAAGCACUUCUAGCAGCUGUCAAUGAGACAGCCACUAGAGGCUGGAUUAACCCCAUUAUAAACAUAGCAGUUUUUCUGAAACUGCUAUGUUUAUAGAAGAAAGGGUUAAUCCUAGCUGGACCUGGCACCCAGACCACUUCAUUAAACUGAAGUGGUCUGGGCGCCUUUAGUGGUCCUUUAAUUUUGAAUGGACAUUCUUUACCUCCUGGUUCAUGUUCCCUAACUCUGAUAUUUCCAGCAGACUCAACAUCCUAUCUAUAUUGCUUCCCUGUGUAAUGAAUAUUUUGAACAGGUGGCAGUGAAACCGACAUUGUACAGAGUGUCGAUCAAAUAGACACAAAGUGAGAGGCGCCGCAUGGUCAAUGAGAAGGAAGUGCAUGCGCUUCUUACCCGGGUAAGUAUUUAAUAGAAAGGAAUACAUCACUGGUACAAUAUCCAGAUUGGAAUCUAAAAUGUUAAUUUGUACUGUUAUAUAAUCUGUAAUUUUAUCUCUGUUGCUCAUGCUAUCAAUAAGUAAAUUAUUCCAAAAAUGUAACGGAUUGCAAACAUCUCCAACAGAUGCAUACAUUAUAAAGGCAUAGCUAUCUAAAUAUAGCUUCUGGUGCCCCAACGAUAUCUGCCACAAUAAAUGCAAGACCAUUCAGUCCAGGAGGCAUUAACCUCAAAUUCUCAAUUUUCCUCUAGUACAAUAUGGAUGCCCAUUAGCUAUAAUUGGUUCUGUUCCCAUCACAAGUACUUUGCCACAGGUCACCAAUAAAAACCAUAACUCUUUCCAGUACCCUUUUAGUAGCUUCUAGCAGGGAUGUUCUUUCCGUUUAGAUAUUAGGUGUGGUAUGACACCUUCACUCUUCUUGUUGUCCACUGACUCUUCCUUUUAUUUGUGCUUUGCUAUAUCUUUCAUUACAUCUCUCCUUUAUCUUUGCUGUAAAAUAAACAUGUUACAUCUCAUCAUUUGUCCUUUCCUGAAAUCAAGCCUGGGGAUGUGAUUGAUGAAUCCCAUAGAGACAUUUAUUCCGUGGAAGGUGUGGACAAUGCCAACGAAUCGCAUGGAUUUAAGGAUGAUGGACAAAUACCAAGGACUGAAUGAAGAACUAGAAAGAAUGUGGAAAUUGAAGGCAGUAGUAGUCCCAGUUGUUAAAGGAGCACUUGGGGCUGUAACCCCAAGUUGGGGGAGUGGCUUCAACAGAUUCCAGGUGGGACAUCUGAGAUUGCGUUCCGGAAGAGUACAGUUCUUGGAACAGCUAAGAUAAUGUGCACUCUCAGACUCCCAGGCCUCUGGUAGAGGAACCAAACAUGAGGAAUAAAUAUACCACCUAGUUGUGGGAAAACCAUUUUUUUUAUUUUACAAAUUAUAUGAAUACAAUACAAUGUGCUGAAUUAGGUUUCAAUAACCUUAUUUAAAAAAAAAAAAAAA